UACGUAGGGAGCAAGCGUUGUCCGGAAUCAUUGGGCGUAAAGCGCGCGUAGGUGGCUUCGUAAGUCCGUUGUGAAAGUCAAAGGCUCAACCUUUGAAAGCCGAUGGAUACUGUGAAGCUAGAGUACGGAAGAGGCGAGUGGAAUUCCUGGUGUAGCGGUGGAAAUGCGCAGAUAUCAGGAGGAACACCAAUAGCGAAGGCAGCUCGCUGGACGUUACUGACACUGAGGCGCGAAAGCGUGGGGAGCGAACAGG
rnacentral:rRNA from 1 species